rnacentral:lncRNA from 1 species
AUCCGCCUGUCUCAGCCUCCCAAAGUGCUGGGAUUACAGGCAUGAGCCACCGUGCCUGGUCUGGGCUCAGAAUCCGUUAUUAAGGAUGUUACAGGGAAAUGACCUUGGCCUAGAAAUAGGGUGAGAAGAAACUAAGACAGGAGUGCCAUGGUCAUUCAACAAGAAAGAGUAUUUCACUCUCCAGUCAGAUUGCCCCCUACUGUGGAAGAGUGUUCAAGAACAUAAGACGAGAGAAAGAAUCAAGGUUUAAGGUAGUCUCACAUUUCAAUUUUUUGCUCAUUGACAAGAUAUAUAGAGAUAUAUAAUUUUUUAUAUGUGUAUAAAAAAUUCUCAUACUUGCAACCUCCCUCUCAGUUGUGUACAUCAACUACAUACAGCUAGAACAGCAAUGAUGGCAUGCUGAAUUGCUGUCAAUUGAUUACCUAGAAAGUGGGCACUGUGUGACUCUCACCUCUCAGUUAUCCCCUCCCUGCCUUUACCACCUCCCUGAAGCCCCUGAAGUUGGUCAGCUUCACUCAACCUGGUGGUAUAAUAAAAUCCAUUGCAGGGGUAGGAUUUGGAGUGGUUGGUGAACCCACCACUCUAGAGUCUGAAGCUUACAGGUGUAAAACAAAAAGGAAGGAAGGAAGACUGGUGGAAUAAAUAAACCAAAGGUAAGUGGAGCCCCCUUCACCAUUCUUAGCUUCUUUCGUAACUGUUAUGUUGUAUCAUUAAAGUGUAUUGUACAUUUUAUCUCCUUACCUAACAUCCAUUGCCCCUUUCUUCUUUCCUAACAGGAAUUAAAUUUUGUUCAGACAUCCACUCUUCACCUUCCCAGCCCCUGUUUGCCUGUAACUACAAAGCAGAGGCAGGGAGAAAGACACAUGGGCAGGAGAAUACCACAUGGAGACACAGACACACGAGGGGAGGAUGCCUGCUGACCAUGGAGGCAGAAGUGGGACUGACGCAUCGAUCAGCUGAGGGAUGCCAAGCACUGCCAGCAAACACCAGAGGCUUGAUGGGGGCGAGUAUUCUCCUGUGCAGGUAUCAGAGGGAGCCUGGCCUUGCAGAUACCUUGAUUCCUGACUUCUGGCCUCUAAAAUGUCCAAUGUGAGUCAGGCAUCUCUCCUGGUGGCUGUCUUCCAUGUGGUGACUUAUGUAUCCAGGAUCCUUCUACUGUGUUUCUCCUCCAUUGCGAAGUCCUUCACUUCCAGCACCUGAGACAUUUUUUGGGUAUAUCUACAAGUGGCAUAUAUCACUUCUGCCCACAUUCACCUGGGUAGAACUCAAUCACAUUGUUUCACCUAACUGCAAGUGAGGCUGUGGAAUAUAGUCUCCCUAUGUGCCCAAGCAGAAGAAACAGGAUUGUGUGACUCUACAAUGUGUGAUUGCUCCUGGUGAAUCAAAAGGAUAAAGCUGCUGAUUCUGCAAUUUGAUAACCCAACCAUGCUGACCUCAAAGUGUAGUCAAUCCAUGAAGUUCCUCCCACCACAGCUCAUCCUGAACACUGCCCACCUGAGUCAUCAAGAAAGAUUUCACCUGAUUCUUGGCCACAAAGUUUCAAGGGAACCAGAGCUAAUGAAGACAGCAUGGAAGGGCACCGCCGAGACCUACCUGUGGGAGUCCACCUCACCCUCAAGAACAGCUACCAUUUUAACACAGAUGGAUAAACCCCAUGAAAGUGAACUUCCUAAAUGCAAAUUCUGAUCUUGAAGCCCCAGCUGGCACAUCUACUGGAGACCCUCCCAAGCAACAAGAUGUAGAUGCUUUAGAGAUAACAAACUAUACAAGUUGUCUUCCAUUCUUUCUCCUUCCUCUAUUUUCAACACGGAUAAAAUACAUAUAUAUUUAUCUUGCUGAGCUCAGUAGGAUUAUUUAGCUUUAUUUCCAUGGCUGCCUUUUCUUAAUGUAAUAGAAUUUCCAAUCGAGCUUAUUACUUCCUUCCGUCACAAGCCUGAGGUCCUUUCACACCCAUCCUGUCCUUGGCAAAGAUCUUUGGAAAGUAGCCUGGGACAUACCUAGUGGUAAGCCACCUGCUCUGGGUUGAGGGUGGAUCUAUUCUAGUCAGAGGCUUUGUGAUCUGGACAAAGGAAUUGAGUAUGUGGCUGUCAAACUGUCAGGCAAUACUAAAUUUGGCUGGCCAGCUGAAUUCUAGCAGAAAAUCAUGCAAAAUAAGGUUUAGCAAUUGGGGAAAAAUGGCCCACAGGAAAAACAAAGGGAUGAAAUUCCGUAGGACUACACGGCCAUAGAAUUCUAACUUGAGGGCUGCAACCAGCUAUGUGACCUUGUAGUACAAGGACCAGUCUUCAGAUACAAAAUAGAGUUUGGAGUUAAAGGGAUCUUUGAGAAGAAGCCAUUAUCCACCCCCUCCUCCCAAUUUUAUAUGCCCUAAGAAAAAGGUUUCUUUCAACUUAGAAAGGUAUGAUUCUUGAAGUGCACUUCCUCCGAGUUUUCCUGAGCCUCUCAAUCAAAAUGACUUGCACCUGCCCAUCCAUUCCCAUUGGCUUAUGCUCCUACCCUGCAGUAUUGGCUUCAUUAUGCCUCACCUUGUACACCUGUCUGAUUCCUCUCCUAGAUUAUCAGCACCUUGACAAUGGGCUCGUAUCUUGUGUAUCCCUGAAUUUCCAGGGACAAUGAUAGUGCCUGCCACAUAAUUGAUGGUCAAUAAAUUUUGGUUAAAUAGUAACAAGAAACUCCCAUUUAAAAAAUGUGUUAUCGUUAUCAUUCUCAAUCUGGAUGCUCUCCUCUAUACACAGUUUUAUUCAGUAACUCUCUUAAAAUUGUAAAGGUGAGAAAUUGAACACAGUUUCCCAGGUCUUUGAGCAGCACGAGAUACAGGGAGAAAAAAAAUGCUUUGUGCUUGAAUACUUUACUUCUGAUUGGAGAAAAUAAACACUGCACUGGAUUAUUUUUAAAGAUACAUCACAUUACGUUUGUGAUCAACUGAAAUGCUAAGAUAUUUGCAUGUGGAUUUCUGCCAAGCUGCUUUUCUCCCAUUCUUCAUGUGUGUGAUUGAUCUUGAAAUCAAAUGGUGGGACUUUAUAUAUUUUUUUGUUUUAACUCAAGGUAAAGUCUGACAAAAAUCACGUUAAAUUUGAUGCUGUCAGUGAAGACAUUAGCAAUCCUUCCUGGCUUAAGGUCACUGGCAAAUUUGAUAUACUUAUCUUUUGUGGGGUUUUUUUGUUGGUUUUUUUAAGACAGGG